GACGAACGCUGGCGGCGUGCCUAAUACAUGCAAGUCGAACGCAGUGGGGACGGGUGAGUAACACGUGGGUAACCUCCCAUCAGAGGGGAUAACACUUGGAAACAGGUGCUAAACCGAUACUGAUGGAUGUACCCGCGGUGCAUUAGCUAGUUGGUGAGGUAACGGCUCACCAAGGCCACGAUGCAUAGACGAGCUGAGAGGGGGAUCGGGCAAACUGGGACUGGGAAACGGCCAAGACACCUACGGGAGGCAGCAGUAGGGAAUCUUGGGCAAUGGGCGAAAGGCUGACCGAGCAACGCAGCGUGAGGGAAGAAGGUUUUGGGAGGGGAAAACUCUGUUGUUAGAGAAGCGGUAUCUAACCAGAAAGCCACGGCUAACUACGUGCCAGCCGCCGCGGUAAUACC
rnacentral:rRNA from 1 species